UACGUAGGGAGCAAGCGUUGUUCGGAUUUACUGGGCGUAAAGGGCGCGUAGGCGGCAAAUUAAGUCAGCUGUGAAAUCUCCGAGCUUAACUCGGAACGGUCAGCUGAUACUGAUCUGCUAGAGUGCGGAAGGGGCAAUCGGAAUUCUUGGUGUAGCGGUGAAAUGCGCAGAUAUCAGGAAGAACACCCGUGGCGAAGGCGGCUCUCUGGGACGGUACUGACGCUGAGACGCGAAAGCGUGGGGAGCGAACAGG
rnacentral:rRNA from 1 species